CUGAAACUAACUUAAAAGCAGCAGAAAACUGGGAGUGGUGGUGUAUUACUGGUAGGCAAUCCAGAGAUCCUAGUUGAACACUGAUGAGUUUCCUGGUUAUGAACCUUCUGCAAGUGAUGCUUCAGCCAUGACUUAGAUGCAGUACCUACAGCUGUCACAGCUAUCUUAAAACCAUCAGCUAAAGACCAAGUGACAUGAAUGAGCUCCUAAGGCCUUCUGAGCAAUCAACUGUUUAGGGAUGACAGUGAUUCUAUCCUGGCAUAAUUACUGAAACUUGGUGUCUCUGGUGCUUGCAGGAAAACAGAUGCAACAAGGUGACUUGAGUUUGCAGAGAGACAAUGCAGCACGCCUCAAAUACAGCUCCAUUUGAUUGCAUGCUUCAUUUGCUUCCCCAUAUUUAAGACUCUGAAUAUUUGUCUAAAAACCCAGCUGAAGGCAGGGGAGAUGGAUGGCCCUGCUGCCACAGACACCUGUUAGGAAGCCUGAAGACUUGAGUUUAAGCCCCAGAAUGCACACAGAAAAUCCACACACAUACCAUGGCACACACAUGAAAUAAAUAAAG